rnacentral:rRNA from 1 species
UACGGGGGGUCCAAGCGUUGUCCGGAAUCACUGGGCGUAAAGCGUGUGUAGGUGGCUUUUCAAGUCGUGUGUGAAAGCCCGGGGCCUAACCCCGGAAGUGCACUCGAUACUGUUAAGCUUGAGUAUCAGAGAGGAUAGUGGAAUUCCAGGUGUAGUGGUGAAAUACGUAGAUAUCUGGAGGAACACCGGUGGCGAAGGCGGCUAUCUGGCUGAAUACUGACACUGAAACACGAAAGCGUGGGGAUCAAACAGG